rnacentral:tRNA from 1 species
GCGCCCGUAGCUCAGCUGGAUAGAGCAAUAGCCUCCGACGCUAUGUGCCACCGGUUCGAAUCCGGUCGGGCGUACCA